AUUGAACGCUGGCGGCAGGCCUAACACAUGCAAGUCGAGCGGUAGAGAGAAGCUUGCUUCUCUUGAGAGCGGCGGACGGGUGAGUAAUGCCUAGGAAUCUGCCUGAUAGUGGGGGAUAACGUCCGGAAACGGACGCUAAUACCGCAUACGUCCUACGGGAGAAAGUGGGGGCUCUUCGGACCUCACGCUAUCAGAUGAGCCUAGGUCGGAUUAGCUAGUUGGUGGGGUAAAGGCUCACCAAGGCGACGAUCCGUAACUGGUCUGAGAGGAUGAUCAGUCACACUGGAACUGAGACACGGUCCAGACUCCUACGGGAGGCAGCAGUGGGGAAUAUUGGACAAUGGGCGAAAGCCUGAUCCAGCCAUGCCGCGUGUGUGAAGAAGGUCUUCGGAUUGUAAAGCACUUUAAGUUGGGAGGAAGGGUCGUUACCUAAUACGUGGCGAUUUUGACGUUACCGACAGAAUAAGCACCGGCUAACUCUGUGCCAGCAGCCGCAGUAAAAC
rnacentral:rRNA from 1 species